rnacentral:misc_RNA from 1 species
GAUGAAGAACGCAGCGAAAUGCGAUAAGUAGUGUGAAUUGCAGAAUUCAGUGAAUCAUCGAAUCUUUGAACGCGCAUUGCGGCCCUUGGUAUUCCAUGGGGCAUGCCUGUUCGAGCGUCAUUUGUACCUUCAAGCUCUGCUUGGUGUUGGGUGUUUGUCUCGCCUCUGCGUGUAGACUCGCCUUAAAACAAUUGGCAGCCGGCGUAUUGAUUUCGGAGCGCAGUACAUCUCGCGCUUUGCACUCAUAACGACGACGUCCAAAAGUACAUUUUUACACUCUUGACCUCGGAUCAGGUAGGGAUACCCGCUGAACUUAAGCAUAUCAAUAAGCGGAGGA